rnacentral:rRNA from 1 species
AAUUUUGGACAAUGGGGGCAACCCUGAUCCAGCCAUCGCGCGUGUGCGAUGAAGGCCUNUGGGUUNUNAAGCACUUUUGGCAGGGNCGAAAAGGCGCCGGCUAAUACCUGGCGCCGCUGACGGUACCUGCAGAAUAAGCACCGGCUAACUACGUGCCGGCAGCCGCGGUAAUACGUAGGGUGCAAGCGUUAAUCGGAAUUACUGGGCGUAAAGCGUGCGCAGGCGGUUCGGAAAGAAAGAUGUGAAAUCCCAGGGCUUAACCUUGGAACUGCAUUUUUAACUGCCGGGCUAGAGUAUGUCAGAGGGGGGUAGAAUUCCACGUGUAGCAGUGAAAUGCGUAGAGAUGUGGAGGAAUACCGAUGGCGAAGGCAGCCCCCUGGGAUGAUACUGACGCUCAUGCACGAAAGCGUGGGGAGCAAACAGG